rnacentral:snoRNA from 1 species
UUACAUUUCUUAUAUUCACUUGUCUUAGAGUUCAGAUUAAAGGCAUAACUUUUCAUGCUUUCAUGAAAAGGUGAUUUCAUGACUCUGAGU